rnacentral:rRNA from 1 species
GAUGAACGCUGGCGGCGUGCCUAAUACAUGCAAGUCGAGCGAACGGACGAGAAGCUUGCUUCUCUGAUGUUAGCGGCGGACGGGUGAGUAACACGUGGAUAACCUACCUAUAAGACUGGGAUAACUUCGGGAAACCGUAGCUAAUACCGGAUAAUAUUUUGAACCGCAUGGUUCAAAAGUGAAAGACGGUCUUGCUGUCACUUAUAGAUGGAUCCGCGCUGCAUUAGCUAGUUGGUAAGGUAACGACUUACCAAGGCAACGAUGCAUAGCCGACCUGAGAGGGUGAUCGGCCACACUGGAACUGAGACACGGUCCAGACUCCUACGGGAGGCAGCAGUAGGGAAUCUUCCGCAAUGGGCGAAAGCCUGACGGAGCAACGCCGCGUGAGUGAUGAAGGUCUUCGGAUCGUAAAGCUCUAUUAUUAGGGAAGAACAUAUGUGUAAGUAACUGUGCACAUCUUGACGGUACCUAAUCAGAAAGCCACGGCUAACUACGUG